UUGAUAAGUUAGCAUUGACUAGGGAGACUUAACCUUCCUUGAUUCAAAUCUAAUUCAUAUUGAUCAAUUGAUCAAGUGAAUGGCUUUGCAUUAAGGAUAGGUUGUUUCCCAAAUCAUGCAAAAGGCUUAAACCAAUACAAGAUCAAUUCUCUUUUUCUUUUUGGCAUGGCAAGUUGUUGGAACUUGGUUCAAUAAUCAAGACUUCUAACUUGUGUUGUUGCCUACAUUAUUAUUGACCGGCCUCAGAUAGUUGUGAC
rnacentral:lncRNA from 1 species